AUUGAACGCUGGCGGAAUGCUUCACACAUGCAAGUCGAACGGCAGCACGGGUGCUUGCACCUGGUGGCGAGUGGCGAACGGGUGAGUAACAUAUCGGAACGUAUCCAAUAAUGGGGGAUAACUAAUCGAAAGGUUGGCUAAUACCGCAUACGCCCUACGGGGGAAAGCUAGGGACCUUCGGGCCUGGCGUUAAUGGAGCGGCCGAUAGCUGAUUAGCUAGUUGGUGGGGUAAUGGCCUACCAAGGCGACGAUCAGUAGCUGGUCUGAGAGGACGACCAGCCACACUGGAACUGAGAAACGGACCAGACUCCUACGGGAGGCAGCAGUGGGGAAUUUUGGACAAUGGGCGCAAGCCUGAUCCAGCCAUGCCGCGUGAGUGAAGAAGGCCUUCGGGUUGUAAAGCUCUUUCGGCGGGGAAGAAAACGUACAGGCUAAUACCCUGUGCGGAUGACGGUACCCGCAUAAGAAGCACCGGCUAACUACGUGCCAGCCGCCGCGGUAAAAC
rnacentral:rRNA from 1 species